rnacentral:lncRNA from 1 species
UAUUUUUGUACAAUCAAUAUUUACUUAUUUAUUAUAUUUUUAUUCAUUAACUAUCAAUUGUGUGAGUAUAUCUACUUAGAAAUAUCAUAUCAAGGGAGAAUCUUGAUCCCACGUACACGCAAAUAUGUUAAUUUCUAUACGCUUCACUUACCUGUAGAAUCAAUUAUCUAAAAUGCAAGUUUGUGGCCACAAAAAAGGCCAAAGAAAGAAGAUAAUAACAAUUGACUUGUAUAUUAUACUCAUACAAUCCACUCGACAUAAUGAUAUCAUUUUAAUAAGGCAAUGGCUGAUGAUCUCCAUUGAAAAACUAAUUCAUUUUUUUUGCUUCAUUUAACUUUUUGGUUGUUGAAAAUAACCUUAAUUAUCAAAUAAUUGGAGAAAGAGUAAAGAACAUUUAACAAAUUUAUGUGCAAAAAAAAAAGGAGAAGUUGAAGAGAAAGGGUGCUUGCAGAAGUGGGUGUCAAAGAAAAAUCGGUCCAUAAGAAUUAUUGCGGUUAUUUUUUCGCAAUAUAAAAUUUUUAUAGCGUGUAAAAAUUAAUUUUUUUUCCGAUUUACUAAAAAAUUAACUAAAAACUUCUGCGACAGCAUUUUUUAUGGGUGCAUAUACCCUCCCUUUAAAAAAAUAAUAAUAAUUAAUGCUUAAUAUAGUAUUAAAUACGAAAAUAUCAAUAUUUGACAACUCAAAUUUAUAUCAUUAGGUCCUUAAAAUUUAAAAUUGAAGACACGAAAAGAAAUAUAUAAAAAUUUCAUUCUCAUGGAAAGGAUUCUCUUAUAAUCUUAUAAUAUUUGAGUUUUGAAAUUUUUUUGAAACAAAUGUAAUUUUAUUUGUGUACAAUCAAUAUUUACUUAUUUAUUAUAUUUUAAUUUAUUAACUAUCAAUCAUGUAAGUAUAUUUAGUCAGAAAAAUUAUAUCAAGAGAGAAUUCUAAUUUCACACAAACACAAAUACAAGACAAAUAUGUCAAUUUCUAUACUAUUCACUUUCCUGUAGAAUCAAUUAUCUAAAAUGGAAGUUUGUGGCUACAGAAAACUCGCCAAAGAAAGAAGAUAAUAACAAUUGAGCAUUGAUAGCAAAACUAAUGCAUCAUUUUCUUCUUGACUUGAUGAGAUGGCGCCAUCACAAAAAAACAAGUACCUUAAUUGACGGGCACUGAGUGAUGUGAAUACUACCAGCCAGUUCAUCUCUUCCAGUCUUGCUUAAUCACAAUCACAAACACCACGAGAUUGACAUUUGCAUUAUAUAUAUGUUCAGCAAUCGAAACACCUUGCAUUACCAAAUUAACCGCUAACAAACAAAGCAAUCUUUCAGGGAGAGAAACUUUAGUCUCAGUAUGAUCACUGUGUCAUUAACCCACUUCCUGCUUCUUUGCUUGGUUGUUGUAGCAGCAGCAGCAGCAAGCAACAAUAUUACCACAGACCAACAAGCUCUUCUUGCCCUGAAAGAUCAUAUAAUUUAUGAUCCGACCAACCUUUUAGCCCAUAAUUGGACCUCGAAUACAUCUGUUUGUACCUGGAUUGGCAUCACUUGUGAUGUCAAUAGCCAUAGAGUCGCAGCCUUAGAUAUUUCUCAAUUCAAUCUACAAGGCACCAUCCCUCCUCAACUUGGAAACCUCUCUUCACUCACAACGCUUAAUCUUAGUCAUAACAAGCUUUCUGGAAACGUUCCCUCCUCCAUCUACACAAUGCAUACGCUAAAAUUUCUUGACUUCACUGAUAACCAGCUCUCUGGUUCGGUGUCUUCCUUCGUCUUCAACAUGUCUUCAAUAGUAGAAAUUCGUUUGACCAAUAACAGAUUUUCUGGUGAGCUUCCGAAAAAUAUUUGCAACUAUCUUCCUCAUUUGAAAGCCCUUUUUUUGGACAAAAACAUGUUUCAUAGCAAAAUUCCUUCUGCUUUAUCAAAGUGCAAACAACUGCAACAAUUAAAUUUGCAGUUCAAUAAUUUAUCCGGUGCAAUACCAAAAGAAAUCGGCAACUUGACUAUGCUCAAAGGGAUAUCUCUAUUAUGCAACAAACUCCACGGUAUGUUCAUAAUACUAUGUAAAUAUUUUAAUUUCUCACUUGUUAUUUUUCUUGAAUACUUUAGAUAAGAUCUUGUAACAGAGAUUUUUUUGCAUCUAUGUUAAUUUGCCAGGUGAGAUACCCCACGAAAUCGCUAAUCUUCGAAAUCUAGAGGGUUUAGUGCUUGGAAUGAACAACCUAGUUGGUGUGUUACCAGCUCCAAUCUUCAACAUGUCAACACUGAAGGUACUUAUCCUCAUGGAUAACUCUCUCAGUGGAAGUCUACCAUCAAGAAUAGACCUUUCACUUCCAACUGUUGAGUUUCUUGAGUUGGCACAUAAUAGAUUUUCUGGAACCAUUCCUAGUUCCAUCACCAAUGCUUCUAAGCUCACCGUUCUAGCGUUGGGAGAGAACACAUUUUCGGGCUUCAUUCCAAACACAAUUGGUAAUUUAAAAAACCUUGAGUGGCUCAGCUUGGAGAAUAAUUACUUGAAAUCUUCAACCUCAAAAUUGAGCUUUCUUUCCUCUUUGGCAAAUUGCAAGAAAUUAAGAUUCUUAAACUUAGGAGGCAAUCCACUCGACGGUAUCCUUCCAAGUUCAAUAGGUAAUCUUUCUAAGUCUUUGGAAACACUUGUCAUCGCCAAUUGCAGUAUUAGUGGCAACAUUCCGGAAGCAAUUAGCAAUUUAAGCAACUUGUUGACCUUAGUAUUAGAACGCAAUAAAUUGACUGGACCAAUUCCAAUUACAUUCGGCCCACUACAGAAACUCCAAGGCUUAUAUCUUGCAUUCAAUAUGUUGGUAGGUUCAUUCCCAGAUGAGCUUUGCCAUCUAGGUAGGCUGAAUGAAUUGGUCUUAUUUGGCAAUAAGCUUUCAGGAUCUAUACCUUCAUGCUUAAGUAACCUCACUUCUCUGAAAUCUCUCUACUUAGGGUCCAAUAGGUUUACUUCUGUUAUUCCCUCAACCUUCUGGAGCCUAAAAUACAUCUUGUUCUUUGACUUUUCAUCAAAUUUCUUGGUGGGUCCUCUUUCUUCAGACAUAGGUAAUUUGAAGGUGCUUCUAGGAAUAAAUUUAUCAGAAAAUAACUUAUCGGGUGAUAUGCCAGCCACAAUUGGAGGACUAAAAAACCUUCAAAUUAUGGACCUAGCAUAUAAUAGAUUGGAAGGCCCAAUUCCUGAAUCAUUUGGUGACUUGACAAGUUUGGAGGUUUUGAAUUUGUCAAAUAAUAAAAUCUCCGGGUCUAUUCCAAAAUCCUUGGGGAAACUCUUUUACCUCCGAGAGUUAAAUCUCUCUUUCAAUGAACUAGAAGGUGAGAUUCCUAGUGGAGGAAUUUUUGCCAACUUCACAGCUGAGUCAUUUAUGGGAAAUGAGUUAUUGUGUGGUUUACCAAAUCUUCAAGUCCAACCAUGCAAAGUUAGCAAGCCGAGGACAGAACAUAAAUCAAGGAAAAAGAUACUUCUCAUUGUGAUUGUUUUGCCAUUGAGUAUUGCUCUAACGAUAGCAAUCACUCUAGCUCUCCAAUCUAAGCUGAUCGAAUGUGGAAAAAGAAGCACGGUGUUAUCAAAUGAUAGUAUCUUGUCAUCACAAGCAACACUAAGAAGAUUUUCAUACUUAGAACUUUUACGAGCAACAGAUAAUUUUGCUGAAAACAGCAUAAUUGGCAGAGGAGGUUUUGGUUCCGUUUAUGGAGCAAGACUUGAAGAUGGGAUGAAGAUUGCAAUAAAAGUGUUUCACCAGCAAUGUGCAAGCGCAUUGAAGAGUUUUGAGGCUGAAUGUGAAGUGUUAAAAAAUAUUCGCCAUCGAAACCUUAUCAAAGUUAUCAGCAGUUGCUCGAACGAUGACUUCAAAGCAUUAGUCCUAGAAUACAUGUCCAACGGGAGCUUGGGGGAUUGGUUGCAUUCGAGCAAUUACGUGCUGAAUAUUUUUCGAAGGUUGAACAUAAUGAUUGACUUUGCAUCAGCUUUAGAAUAUCUCCACUUCGAUCAUUCAACUCCUGUUAUUCAUUGUGACUUAAAGCCUAGUAAUGUAUUGUUGGACGAAAAUAUGGUUGCUCAUUUGAGUGAUUUUGGCAUAGCAAAGCUUUUAAGUGGAGAAGAUGAGUCUACGAUGCGAACAAAAACCCUUGCCACUAUAGGUUAUAUGGCACCAGGUUUGCUUCAAACAACUUUUUUUGUUGGUGCAUGUACCCUCCCUUUAAAAAAUAUAUAAUAAUUAAUACUUAAUAUAUUAUUAAAUACGAAAAUAUCAAUAUUUGACUACACAAAUUUAUGUCAUUAGGUCCUUAAAAUUUAAAAUUGAAGACACAAAAUGAAAUAUAUAUAUAAAUUUCAUUCUCAUAGGAAAUGAUCCUCUUAUAAUCUUAAAAUAUUUGAGCUUUGAAAGAUUUUUUAAAACAAAUGUACUUUUAUUUUUGUACAAUCAAUAUUUACUUAUUUAUUAUAUUUUUAUUCAUUAACUAUCAAUCAUGUGAGUAUAUUUACUCAGAAAUAUCAUAUCAAGGAAGAAUCUUGAUCCCACGCACACGCAAAUAUGUUAAUUUCUAUACGCUUCACUUACCUGUAGAAUCAAUUAUCUAAAAUGCAAGUUUGUGGCCACAAAAAAGGCCAAAGAAAGAAGAUAAUAACAAUUGACUUGUAUAUUAUACUCAUACAAUCCACUCGACAUAAUGAUAUCAUUUUAAUAAGGCAAUGGCUGAUGAUCUCCAUGACUCCAUUGAAAAACUAAUUCAAUUUUUUUUGCUUCAUUUAACUUUUUGGUUGUUGAAAAUAACCUUAAUUAUCAAAUAAUUGGAGAAAGAGUAAAGAACAUUUAAAAAAUUUAUGAGCAAAAAAAAAAGGAGAAGUUGAAGAGAAAGGGUGCUUGCAGAAGUGGGUGUCAAAGAAAAAUCAGUCCAUAAGAAUUAUUGCGGUUAUUUUUUGGCAAUAUAAAUUUUUUAUAGCAAGUAAAAAUUAAUUUUUUUCCGAUUUACUAAAAAAUUAACUAAAAACUUCUGCGACAACAUUUUUUAUGGGUGCAUAUAGCCUCCCUUUAAAAAAAUAAUAAUAAUUAAUGCUUAAUAUAGUAUUAAAUACGAAAAUGUCAAUAUUUGAUUACUCAAAUUUAUAUCAUUAGGUCCUUAAAAUUUAAAAUUAAAGAUACGAAAGGAAAUAUAUAUAAAUUUCAUUCUCAUGGAAAGGAUUCUCUUAUAAUUUUAUAAUAUUUGAGUUUUGAAAUUUUUUUGAAACAAAUGUAAUUUUAUUUGUGUACAAUCAAUAUUUACUCAUUUAUUAUAUUUUAAUUUAUUUAUUAUAUUUAGUCGGAAAAAUUAUAUCAAGAGAGAAUCCUAAUUUCACGCAAACACAAAUACAAGACAAAUAUGUUAAUUUCUAUACUAUUCACUUUCCUGUAGAAUCAAUUAUCUAAAAUGCAAGUUUGUGGCUACAGAAAACUCGCCAAAGAAAGAAGAUAAUAACAAUUGAGCAUUGAUAGCAAAACUAAUGCAUCAUUUUCUUCUUGACUUGAUGAGAUGGCGCCAUCACAAAAAAACAAGUACCUUAAUUGACGGGCACUGAGUGAUGUGAAUACUACCAGCCAGUUCAUCUCUUCCAGUCUUGCUUAAUCACAAUCACAAACACCUCGAGAUCGACAUUUGCAUUAUAUAUAUGUUCAGCAAUCGAAACACCUUGCAUUACCAAAUAAACCAGUAACAAACAAAGCAAUCUUUCAUGGAGAGAAACUUUAGUCUCAGUAUGAUCACUGUGUCAUUAACCCACUGCCUGCUUCUUUGCUUGGUUGUUGCAGCAGCAGCAGCAGCAGCAGCAAGCAACAAUAUUACCACAGACCAACAAGCUCUUCUUGCCCUGAAAGAUCAUAUAAUUUAUGAUCCGACCAACCUUUUAGCCCAUAAUUGGACCUCGAAUACCUCUGUUUGUACCUGGAUUGGCAUCACUUGUGAUGUCAAUAGCCAUAGAGUCACAGCCUUAGAUAUUUCUCAAUUCAAUCUACAAGGCACCAUCCCUCCUCAACUUGGAAACCUCUCUUCACUCACAACACUUAAUCUUAGUCAUAACAAGCUUUCUGGAAGCGUUCCCUCCUCCAUCUACACCAUGCAUAGGCUAAAAUUUCUUGACUUCACUGAUAACCAGCUCUCUGGUUCGGUGUCUUCCUUCGUCUUCAACAUGUCUUCAAUAUUAGACAUUCGUUUGACCAAUAACAGACUUUCUGGUGAGCUUCCGAAAAAUAUUUGCAACUAUCUUCCUCAUUUGAAAGCCCUUUUUUUGGACAAAAACAUGUUUCAUAGCAAAAUUCCUUCUGCUUUAUCAAAGUGCAAACAACUGCAACAAUUAAAUUUGCAGUUCAAUAAUUUAUCCGGUGCAAUACCAAAAGAAAUCGGCAACUUGACUAGGCUCAAAGGGAUAUAUCUCGGCGCCAACAAACUCCACGGUAUGUUCAUAAUACUAUGUAAAUAUUUUAAUUUCUCACUUGUUAUUUUUCUUGAAUACUUUAGAUAAGAUCAUGUAACGGAGAUUUUUUUGCAUCUAUGUUAAUUUGCCAGGUGAGAUACCGCACGAAAUCGCUAAUCUUCGAAAUCUAGGGGAUUUAGUGCUUGGAAUGAACAACCUAGUUGGUGUGUUACCAGCUCCAAUCUUCAACAUGUCAACACUGAAGGUACUUAUCCUCAUAAACAACUCUCUCAGCGGAAGUCUUCCAUCAAGAAUAGACCUUUCACUUCCAACGGUUGAGGUUCUUAUCUUGUCACUUAAUAGAUUUUCUGGAACCAUUCCUAGUUCCAUCACCAAUGCUUCUAAGCUCGCCUUGCUAGAAUUGGGAGUAAACACAUUUUCGGGAUUUAUUCCAAACACAAUUGGUAAUUUAAGAAACCUUGAGUGGCUCGGCUUGGGUAAUAACUACUUGACAUCUUCAACCUCAAAAUUGAGCUUUCUUUCCUCUUUGGCAAAUUGCAAGAAAUUAAGAGACAUAGGCUUAACAGGCAAUCCACUCAACGGUAUCCUUCCAAGUUCAAUAGGUAAUCUUUCCAUGUCUUUGAAAACACUUUACAUCGGCAAUUGCAGUAUUAGUGGCAACAUUCCUCAAUCAAUUGGCAAUUUAAGCAACUUAUUGGCCUUAGUAUUAGAAGUCAAUAAAUUGACUGGACCUAUCCCAACUACAUUCGGCCGACUGCAGAAACUCCAAGGCUUAUAUCUUGCAUUCAAUAAGUUGGUAGGUUCAUUCCCAGAUGAGCUUUGCCAUCUAGCAAGGCUGGAUCAAUUGGUCUUAUUUGGCAAUAAGCUUUCAGGAUCUAUACCUUCAUGCUUAAGUAAUCUCACUUCUCUGAGAUCUCUCUACUUAGGGUCCAAUAGGUUUACUUCUGUCAUUCCCUCAACUUUCUGGAGCCUAAAAGACAUCUUGUUCUUUGACUUUUCAUCAAAUUUCUUGGUGGGUCCUCUUUCUUCAGACAUAGGUAAUUUGAAGGUGCUUCUAGGAAUAAAUUUAUCAGAAAAUAACUUAUCGGGUGAUAUGCCAGCCACAAUUGGAGGACUAAAAAACCUUCAAAUUAUGGACCUAGCAUAUAAUAGAUUGGAAGGCCCAAUUCCUGAAUCAUUUGGUGACUUGACAAGUUUGGAGGUUUUGAAUUUGUCAAAUAAUAAAAUCUCCGGGUCUAUUCCAAAAUCCUUGGGGAAACUCUUUUACCUCCGAGAGUUAAAUCUCUCUUUCAAUGAACUAGAAGGUGAGAUUCCUAGUGGAGGAAUUUUUGCCAACUUCACAGCUGAGUCAUUUAUGGGAAAUGAGUUAUUGUGUGGUUUACCAAAUCUUCAAGUCCAACCAUGCAAAGUUAGCAAGCCGAGGACAGAACAUAAAUCAAGGAAAAAGAUACUUCUCAUUGUGAUUGUUUUGCCAUUGAGUAUUGCUCUAACGAUAGCAAUCACUCUAGCUCUCCAAUCUAAGCUGAUCGAAUGUGGAAAAAGAAGCACGGUGUUAUCAAAUGAUAGUAUCUUGUCAUCACAAGCAACACUAAGAAGAUUUUCAUACUUAGAACUUUUACGAGCAACAGAUAAUUUUGCUGAAAACAGCAUAAUUGGCAGAGGAGGUUUUGGUUCCGUUUAUGGAGCAAGACUUGAAGAUGGGAUGAAGAUUGCAAUAAAAGUGUUUCACCAGCAAUGUGCAAGCGCAUUGAAGAGUUUUGAGGCUGAAUGUGAAGUGUUAAAAAAUAUUCGCCAUCGAAACCUUAUCAAAGUUAUCAGCAGUUGCUCGAACGAUGACUUCAAAGCAUUAGUCCUAGAAUACAUGUCCAACGGGAGCUUAGGGGAUUGGCUGCAUUCGAGCAAUUACGUGCUGAAUAUUUUUCAAAGGUUGAACAUAAUGAUUGACGUUGCAUCAGCUUUAGAAUAUCUCCACUUUGAUCAUUCAACUCCUAUUAUUCAUUGUGACUUAAAGCCUAGUAAUGUAUUGUUGGAUGAAAAUAUGGUUGCUCAUUUGAGUGAUUUUGGCAUAGCAAAGCUUUUAAGUGGAGAGGAUGAGUCUACGAUGCGAACAAAAACCCUUGCCACUAUAGGUUAUAUGGCACCAGGUUUGCUUCAAACAACUUUUUUUUAAAGUUCAUUUUAAAUUUUCCAACUUAUUGAUUUUUACAAUCCUCAUAUCAAAAUGUUAUUGAUUAUUUAUCUAAUUGUGAAAUUAAUUUGAUUAAUAGAGUACGGCAUUGAAGGAGAAGUAUCUACAAAAAGUGAUGUUUACAGCUAUGGGAUUAUGUUGAUGGAAACUUUUACCAAGAAAAAACCCACAGAUGAAAUUUUUGUUGGGGAAUUGAGCUUAAAGCGUUGGGUUAAUGACUUGCUUCCUACUUCAUUAGUGGAAGUUGUGGACAAAACUCUGCUAAGUGGAGAGGAAAAACAUUCUGCAGCAAAGGAGCAAUGUCUGUUGUCUAUCUUUAGUUUGGCUCUGGAGUGUACAAUGGAAUCACCGGAAAAGAGGAUUAAUGCAAAAGAUAUUGUUACUAGAUUACUCAAGAUAAGAGACACAUUGAGUAAAAGGAUCGGAAAUUUAAGUUAAUUUCGUUUGCUUUCAUUGAUAGUUAAUCUGAAUUCAUGUAAUAAGUGUAGGAAUCUUAUAUCUUUUCCUUUCAUAUAUUUUUUUUUCUUGAGAAAACUGUUGUAGUCAUCUUGUUUCCAUGGACAGAGUUGAUUUAGUUCUUCCAAAAAAUGCUACUGAUGACCUUUGUUUAAUACUUUCUCUUUUUUUGCAUGUGUUUAGGUAGAACAGUGGUUUGGCUGCAGGCUAAGAAGUCUAACUACACUAAAAGAAUAUGAUUUAAUUUAUUAAACAAAACUUCAAGUUCAAGAAAAGUAUUUCACUGCCCCCAAUGCUUUGGACACCUACUUGUUGCGGACCGCCCAAUUCGCUAGCCCAAUUGCCCACAAUUUCGGGCUAGAGAGCCAACACAAGGCCAAGAGUGCUAGCUUGGCCCAAUUCCGAAAGGUUCUAGGCAACUCUAGCACAUGUGAACAUGUAAAUAUUCUAGAAUACUUUAUACAAUUCCAGCACAUGCAAAUAGCUAGGAAAUUGUAAAAUACUCUAGAGUUUGACCAAGUUUGGCAAAGUUAGGCAAAGUUAGGCAAAGCCUCCCCUAUAAAUAUGGGAUGGCAUUAGGCAUUUGUAUCCAAAAAGCUUUGUAAGCAACUUAAGCAUUGUAUUCUCUCUUUGUGCAAUACAAGUUUUCUUCUUUGGCUCAAUUGCUCUCUUCUCUAGUUCGAGAAGCUCUAGGCUUACUUAGCAACAUUCGGCAAAGUUGUCUAAGUGCCGCACGGGUUAGCUGCGCAAAACACUCAUCUCGUGACAAGUGGUAUCAGAGCUAAGGUUUGCACGCACGCAAAUUAGCUCACGAAGCAAUGGCCAACCCUUCGAACGUAGCACAAGAGGGUGUUGUUGGUGUGGAUGUUCCACCGGAACUAAGCCGUGGCCGAGAGGGAGAACGUGCCCAAGGCAAGACUCGCGGCAAGUCCAAGGCCCUAUCCGUGGAUGCGUUGGAGCCUCGUGUAGGCACUCUCGAAAUCGCAUUGUCCACCGCUCAAGAAAGCCUCGAGGGAUUGGAGGAACGAGUGGACGGACUCGAGGGAGAAUACGCCGAAUUCACGGUGGCAACCAAAGCUCUCAUCCAAGAACAAGCAAACACUCUUCGAGGUGAGUGUUCAAGACGAACUACGCGCUGUCCGUGCGGAAGUGGAUGAAGUCCGCUCGGAUUGGGCAUGGCACAAGCGCACACUCUCCUCAAGUCCAGCUUCCGCAAACUCGAGUGAUGCGCGCCGCAUUGACGUGCCAAAGCCCGACACCUACGAUGGCACACGCAAUGCCACAAUCGUGGAUAAUUUCCUCUUUGGUCUGGAUCAAUACUUUAAUGCCAUGGGUGUACGAGAUGAGGCAUCGAAAGUGGGCACUGCACCCACCUAUCUUAGAGGCGCUGCACAACUAUGGUGGCGUCGCAAACAUGGCGAGAUGGGCAAGGGCAUUUGCACCAUCGACAUUUGGUCCGACUUCAAGCAAGAACUCCGAAAGCAGUUCGCCCCAAGCAAUGCGGAGAAGGAAGCGCGAGCGCGCUUACGUCGCCUCAAGCAAUCGGGUAGCAUUCGGGACUACAUCAACGAGUUCACUACCCUUAUGUUGGAGAUAAGCGACAUGUCCAACAAGGAUUCACUCUUCUACUUCCAAGAUGGCCUCAAGGAUUGGGCCAAAACCGAGCUUGAUAGGCGUGGUGUUCAAACACUUGACGACGCCAUCGCCAUUGCGGAAUCGCUCACCGAAUACUCUACCCAAUCCAAAGACAAGAAGUCUAGCCAAGGCAAAGGUGGGGGAGAGAGUCGUAAGGACAAGGGCAACAACCGCAAAGAUUGGGGGCAGAAAAAGCCGCCUAGCAACAAGAGCUGGCAGGGAAAAUCGGAGGGCAAGAAGGAGGCGCCAAAGCCACGAAGCCCAUGCUUCAUAUGCAAUGGUCCUCAUUGGGUACGCGACUGUCCGGAGAAGCGGUCGCUUAAUAUUCUUGCUGCCCAACUCAAGAGCAACCCCACAAUGUCCGUGGAGGAACCCCAACUUAGCAUGGGUUCUCUCCAACGCCUCGGCGCCCUCAACCGCCAACAGCCCGCGCUAGUCAAGAAAGGGCUCAUGUAUGUUAGCGCAAAGGUAAACAGCCAGUCCGUUCGCGCGUUGCUAGACACGGGAGCAACACACAAUUUCGUGUCCGUAGAUGAGGCCAAGCGUUUAGGCCUCAAGGCCACCAAGGAAUGAGGCACAAUGAAGGCAGUAAACUCACCCGCCAAGCCAAUUGCGGGAAUUGCACAAGGCGUACACAUCACACUUGGUACGUGGAGCGGAAAGCUUGACUUCUCCAUCCUGCCCAUGGACGACUUCAAGAUGGUCCUGGGCAUGGAAUUCUUCGACCAAGUCUAUGCCUUCCCGCUGCCUACUACGAACUCCCUAAGCAUCCUCGAUGGGAGUAAAGCAUGCAUGGUACCCACGGAGCGAGGCAAGUCCGAGGAGAAGACACUCUCCACCAUGCAAUUCAAAAGGGCUUUCAAGAAGGACCCAAGCUUCUUGGUCUCCAUUCGGGAACUAAAUGAGGAAAGAAAUAGCGGAACGUCGCCAAGCCAAGUCCCUCCGCAAAUAUACAGAGUCCUCAAUGAGUACGAGGAUGUGAUGCCUCCAGAACUUCCGAAGAAGCUCCCACCUCGACGAGAGGUAGAUCAUGCGAUCGAGCUAGAACAAGGCGCGAAGCCAACAGCCUUGGCGCCCUACCGUAUGGCGCCAUCUGAAUUAGAGGAGUUGCGGAGACAACUCAAAGACUUGCUGGACGCAGGCUACAUUCGCCCCUCAAAGGCCCCAUUCAGUGCACCCGUGCUCUUCCAAAAGAAAAAGGAUGGAUCGCUGCGGAUGUGCAUCGACUAUAGAGCGCUCAACAAGAUCACUAUCAAGAACAAGUAUCUGAUUCCCGUGAUUGCGGACUUGUUCGACCAGCUUGGCAAAGCGCGGUACUUCACCAAACUUGACUUGCGCUCCGGGUAUUAUCAAGUGCGCAUCGCCAAGGGAGAUGAACCGAAGACAGCGUGCACAACAAGGUACGGGUCUUUCGAAUUCCUUGUGAUGCCUUUUGGUCUUACUAAUGCACCCGCCACAUUUUGCACGCUCAUGAACAAGGUGCUCCAACCAUUCCUCGACUGCUUCGUGGUCGUGUACUUGGAUGACAUAGUGGUGUAUAGCACCACGCUCGAGGAUCAUGCCCGACAUUUGCGACAAGUCCUCCAAGUACUUCGAGACAACGAGCUCUUCCUCAAACUAGAGAAGUGCUCGUUUGCCCAACAAGAAGUGGAGUUCCUUGGCCAUAAGAUUGCGGGUGGGAAGAUCAUGAUGGAGAAUGACAAAGUAAAGGUCAUCCUCGAUUGGGAGCCUCCCUCGAAAGUACCCGAACUUCGCUCAUUCCUUGGACUGGUGAAUUACUACCGCCGCUUCAUCAAGGGCUAUUCAGCUAAGGCGGCACCCUUGACGAAUAUGCUCAAGAAAAACAGAACAUGGCAUUGGUCCGAAGAGUGCCAACGCGCAUUCGAGGAGUUGAAAAGAACAAUUUCGGAGGAACCCGUCCUCGCUCUUCCGGACCACACAAAGCCCUUCGAAGUGCAAACGGAUGCCUCGGAUUUCGCCAUAGGAGGAGUCCUUAUGCAAGAAGGCCACCCUAUAGCGUUCGAGAGUCGAAAGCUAAAUGAUACAGAACGCCGCUACACGGUGCAAGAAAAGGAGAUGACCGCAAUCAUACAUUGCUUGCGGGUGUGGCGACAUUACUUGCUUGGCUCGUACUUCACGAUUAUGACGGAUAACGUGGCGACAAGCUACUUUCAAACUCAGAAGAAGUUGAGUCCGAAGCAAGCACGGUGGCAAGAUUUCCUUGCGGAAUUCGACUACCGGCUGGAGUACAAACCGGGGAAAGCCAAUGUCGUUGUGAACGCUCUAAGCCGCAAGGCCGAAUUGGCGACACUUAGCAUGAGCCAACCAAAGUCUGACCUUGUCUCACGCAUCAAGGAAGGCCUCCAACAAGAUCCGCUAGCCAAGGAUUUGCUGGAGAAGGUGCUCGAGGGAAAGACAAGACGAUUUUGGCAAGAGGAAGGCAUCCUCCUCACCAAGGGAGAUCGGCUAUUCGUGCCAAGGUGGGGAAACUUGCGGAAGGAAGUAAUCAAGGAGUGCCACGACUCUAAGUGGGCCGGUCACCCAGGAAUCGAGCGCACCACCGCACUAGUUCAAGCCUCGUAUUUUUGGCCGCACAUGAGGGACGACAUCGAGGCAUAUGUGCGAACUUGUCUUGUGUGCCAACAAGACAAAGUGGAUCAUCAACUUCCAGCGGGAUUGUUGGAGCCGUUACCACUAGCAACAAGGCCAUGGGAAAGUGUCUCCAUGGAUUUCAUCACAUCGCUGCCCAAGUCCGAAGGUUGUGGAAGCAUCAUGGUCGUUGUCGACCGAUACAGCAAAUAUGCCACAUUCAUUGCCGCACCAGCCGAUUGCAAAGCGGACGAGGCAGCCCGCCUAUUCGUCAAGCACAUUGUGAAGCUUUGGGGAGUUCCGAAGAGCAUUGUGAGCGACCGAGACCCUCGAUUCACUGGACGCUUUUGGACGGAACUCUUCAAAAUGUUGGGGACCGAUCUCAAGUUCUCGACAAGCUUCCACCCACAAACGGAUGGGCAGACCGAGCGCAUUAAUGGCCUCCUCGAGAUGUACCUGAGGCAUUAUGUGAGCGCUCACCAGCGGGAUUGGGCGAAGCUACUCGACAUUGCCCAAUUUUCUUAUAACUUGCAGCGAAGUGAGGCUACGGGCAAGAGUCCAUUCGAGAUCAUCAUGGGAUUUCAGCCCAUGACCCCCAAUGCCAUAGCCUCGACUUACGGAGGGAAAAGCCCCGCGGCACACAAGCUCGCCCGCGAAUGGCAUGAGGAAGCGGACAUCACGCGAGCCUAUCUCGACAAAGCCGCGAGGAAAAUGAAGAAAUGGGCUGAUACAAGGAGACGGCAUGUUGAGUACAAGGAAGGAGAUCAAGUCAUGAUCAAGCUCCUACCCCAACAAUUCAAGACUUUGCGGAAAGUUCACAAGGGGUUAGUGAGGUGCUACGAGGGAUCCUUCCGAGUUGUUCGACGUGUAGGCAACGUCUCGUAUCAACUCCAACUUCCGCCAAGACUCAAGAUCCAUCCGGUCUUCCAUGUGAGCCUUCUCAAGCCAUAUCAUGAAGACAUGGGAGAACCAAGUCGCGGAGAAUUGAGGCGCGCGCCAACUGCCGUUGUCACCGCGUUCGACAAAGAUGUGGACUACAUCAUUGCGGACCGAACGGUUUCGAGGAGGGGCGUGCCAGCACAUAGCGAGUACUUGGUGAAAUGGAAAAACCUCCCCGAGAGCGAAGCCACUUGGGAACGGGAAGAUGAUUUGUGGCAAUUCGCUGAGCACAUCCAGCACUUCAAGCACGAGAGCGCGACGAGGACGCCGCGAGCUUAGGUGGGGGAGGAUGUUGCGGACCGCCCAAUUCGCUAGCCCAAUUGCCCACAAUUUCGGGCUAGAGAGCCAACACAAGGCCAAGAGUGCUAGCUUGGCCCAAUUCUGGAAGGUUCUAGGCAACUCUAGCACAUGUGAACAUGUAAAUAUUCUAGAAUACUUUAUACAAUUCCAGCACAUGCAAAUAGCUAGGAAAUUGUAAAAUACUCUAGAGUUUGACCAAGUUUGGCAAAGUUAGGCAAAGUUAGGCAAAGUUAGGCAAAGCCUCCCCUAUAAAUAUGGGAUGGCAUUAGGCAUUUGUAUCCAACAAGCUUUGUAAGCAACUCAAGCAUUGUAUUCUCUCUUUGUGCAAUACAAGUUUUCUUCUUUGGCUCAAUUGCUCUCUUCUCUAGUUCGAGAAGCUCUAGGCUUACUUAGCAACAUUCGGCAAAGUUGUCUAAGUGCCGCACGGGUUAGCUGCGCAAAACACUCAUCCCGUGACAUACUGGUAGGUAUGUACGUGUCCUCAACUUUUUUUCGGAGCACAAAAUUCGAGUCCCAUGGAGACUCAAACAUUCCUUUCCCACAUCCCGAGCACGCUAAAUUCAUCAGACUAACAACUGUGACAUAUACAAGAGUGAAAUGUUUAGAGAACGCUAAGUACUAUGAAAGAGAUUAGUUUACGAAAACUGAAGCCAAGGGUUCAUAAAAAAGUGCAAAGAGAAUAAAGGACAACGCUUAUGUAAAGCGACAUAGUUGUAUUCAUAGCACAAUGUCAUAUUCAUACAGAGAUCUAGAAUAUUAUUUACAGCUGGUAAGGGCUAAGAAUUGAUGUAGCUAGAAUACAAAGACGAUAAGGUAUGUUGUGCACUAUUGUUUUAUUCUACGAUCAAUCUUGACCCUUGAUGCUUGGCUCUCAAUCUUGUCCAUUGAUCUUCUUUGAUUUUGGACACUUCAAGACCUUUCAGUAUCAUUCCUUGUUAUUGGUGUCUUCCGUGCUGUAGAAUUCAUAUACAAGCCUUCCCGCCGACUUGCCAAUUAUUUGUUCAUUGGUGCGUUUUGUCAAGCAGUGUGGAUACUUAUACCAAACGCUUUCUGUUUUAACUCCCCCUUUCAAGCUCAACUAUCUGGGAAGACACUAAUAAGCUUGUUUCUCAAGUAUAUGUAUGUGAAAAUUAAAAUUUCAAAAUAAUAUUCGGACUCUACAUUUUCUAAUGAACAUUGGUUUGGCUCAUAAGCUUAUUAUACUUGGGCUUGGUAGGAUUAUCGGUCGGUAGAUGAACAAGUGUUAGAGCUUUCGAAUUUAUGCCAAUUAAAAAAAAAAAAAUCUAUAUAAAUUUUCCACUAGGCUAUUACCACAAUAAACAUUUGGAUGAACUAUUAUUGAAACCUUAUUGAGAAGUAGGACAUGUCGCAUACCAAUGCACUGACAUAUCUUCAAAUAGUGGUAACUCCACACAACAUGGCACAAUAAAUUAAGAGUUAUAUAGAUAAAAUCUUUCACUCUUUGGUAAUCAUCAAUGUCGGCAUGGCAAUGCGUCCGACAAAAUUCAUAAAUCAAAACAAAAAUAGAGAAUCAUAUUUGUUCCAGAUUGUAGUGAUGGUUGUUGAUGCACUCACAAUUUACAAUUUUAUUUAAUAUCUUCACAUUCGCAUUUUAAAAUGCACAAAUGUUUGUGUAUACAUAAUUAGUAAUCGAUUCUCAAGCAUGGACAUUUAAAAGCACUGCUGAAAGACAAAAUUUUAAUUUACUAUUUUUUGUCUUUUAAUUUUCUUUAAGUUUUAAUGAUUCCGCAUUUUGGCGAAGGAAUUGCAACCGCAUUUGGAGCUAGUUUUAAUUUUGUCUUUUAAUUCUUUUACACUUGGCUUUUGUUAUUGAUGUUAACUUCGAUGUGUGUGCGUGUGCGACUGAAUUCAACUUACACGCUAUUGAUGCAGCCACCAAAAAGGGGUGGUCCAUCAUCAAUCAACAAGGUUUAUUAUUAUUUCCAUAUUGAUUUUCUUAAUUAUAAAUAAUACUAAUGCUAUUUCAUAGUUAUAAAUAUAUUAGAAUUAAUCGAAAUCAUUUUUUAGUGUGGCAUGGCUAAAACUACCUUUUUUUUUUAUAAGUAAUUACUACUUUCACAUUAAGAAAAAAUACUCCUAUUUUUAAGGAAAAGUCAAGUACCUGUAGUUGUGAAGACUCGAGCUCACUCCCUUAUGAUAAAUCUUCAUAUUAAUUACGUAAAUAUCCUCUAAAAUUUUAAAUUAACUAUUCAAAAUUCGAUGUUAUACAGGUAUUUCAUUUAUUUGAGUAGGGGUUAGGGGUCAAUUGGAUACAAAUUCAAAAUUAUCCUUACUUGAGAAGGUGAUAAAAAUUGGGGAUUUAGUUUGGAUGUCAUUAGCUACAAAUAUUAAACUCAUACAUUUAAUUCAAAAUUAGAGGGCUGAUAUAUGCGCAUCAUCGUGCACGUUAUAGUGACACUGCGUCACCAUUCCACAACCUCUCCAAUGAAAAAUUGACAUGCUUCUUGUGCGCAUCUAAUCAGAAUCUUGAAAAUUAAUCACAAAAUUGUACUUUUAUUAUAAAAAGAAUAAAGAAACUCCAAGAAAAAAAAAAGACUUACAUAAAUAGAUUGAAAAAUCUAGAUUUCAAGUUGUCUAUAUUAGCUUGAUAUUUUUAUUAAUAGUCAUCCUCCCAAAAAAAUUCCAUCAAAAUAUAUUUUAAUUUUAUGUUAAUUCAUAAACAUGAAAAAAUCAUUUUAGAAUUAAUUAAAACAUAAUUUAUUGUUGCUCAAAAAAGGUAGAACUUAGUGAUCAGAAAAAAAGUAUCUAAAAUAUAUGUUAAAAAAAAUCAUGGUUGGUUAGACUGAUUGAAUUUUUUUUCUUUUUUAAGAAUUAAGACAAUUGGAUGGAUUCAGUAAUAAUAAUACAUAUUUAUUUGGCAAAUGGCAGGGAGGCUUUCGUCUGAUGCAGAUUGAUUAGAGAGAAAAUAUAACAAUUUUAAGCUCGUCAGAUUCGAAGCUGCUUACCUGUCGUGGGGGGAUCACUUCCGGUGCAUGUUGUCGUGUUAAAUUCUCGUUGACUUCACGUUGACUGAAGCAUUAUUGGAAGAAACAAGUUUAUUGAUGUGAGGCCUUUGAGAUUGUAAGUGUUAAAUCUGAGAAGAAUACCCACACACCCAUUAUCCUAUUACUCUUCUAUCACAUGAAGAGAAUUCAACAUUUGAUUCACACGGAAAAAAAAUUUGUGAGGAUUGUGAGGGUUGAUGGAAUAUAAUUUAGAUACAAAGUGUUUACCAGUGCGAUGCUUCGCAAGUGUUCUUGAAUCAAUAUAAACUCACAUUAUUUUCAUAGCGAUUGUUUCAUCUGCACGUGGAUAUAAUCACAUGUCGAGAUUUUUUUCCUUAAAUUAUGAUCUUAUUUAGUAUUGAGGUGUUAUAUCUUUUAAGGUACAAUUAUUGUUGGAAAAAAGUUGCAACUAUCAAAUAAAAUUAAUACUAUGUGCUAAAUAUAAUUGUUAAAUAAUAAUUUUGACAAAAUUAGUGAAGUUAUAUAGAUUUUUUUUCAUCAUCCAAGUAUAAAAUCAAAUCAACUUAACUUCUAAGUUCUAUAUCGGCUACUGUUUAUCAUAUGUUUUAGUUCUGUAACUUUUAAAUUAUAGUUACCCAACCUCAAUUCUAAACAAGACCUAUAACGAUAAAAAAUUUCCUCAUUAAAUUAUAUGUCUUGUGAUUGCUUAUUUAAUUUAUAUUUUUGUUAUUUAUCUUUAUUAAUUAUAAUCAUCUUUUUAUAAAUUAAAAUUGAAGGAAGUUGAUUGAUGUUGUUGACACACACACACGCACGCACACACUCGCAAAGAUAUAUUGGAAGUGCUUACGUCGACUCGAAGUUGUUGGGAAUUAAUGCAUGUAUUGAUUUAUUGGGAGUGUUUAAAUUGAUUUAUUAAUUGAAUAUUGUUUGAUUGCUUCAUAUCCAUUCUAGAAAGUUUAUUUCUUUGUGAAAUUUCAACGAAAUAUGUUUUUUUUUUUAAAUAAGGGUGUUCUAAAUCAUUUUAAAAAAUAUAUGGACUAAUUAGAAUUAAUUAUUAGGUAAUUAACUCAAUUUGUACAGGGUGAAACAACAUUUAUCCUAAUUAUAUCAUGAUAAAUACUUUUUUGAUUAGAAUUAGGAAAUCAUAGGUUUAUUGAAUUGUUUUUUUUUUCCUUUGCGGAAAUGGAUUAGAGAAUUAGAAAACAAUCAUGUUGAUGUCAAAAUCUGAUCUAGUCGGUUAGCGACUUAAUAUCAUAUUACUGCACCAGCAUUAAAUUUAUUUGGUAGAGAAUUGGCUGGUCAAUUGUCAAGAUGUCCUGCAAUCACUAGCGAUUAACCUACGAAUACCUGAAAUCACAAAAGACGGUAAGAGGCACUAGAAAUUUUUUCGGCGUGAACCUUCUGACGCUCAAGUCAGUUUAUAGGUUUACCAUAAUAAAAAUAAAUAAUUUCUAUUUAAAACAAAAAAUAAAGUUCAAAAGCUCAAAAAUAAAACCCAAUCCCAAUAUGAAAAUGAAUUUCUUUUUUUUUUUUAGCUUGGCCGAAUCCUUCUGCCUCCUAAAGAAACAUAAUAGAGAAGCAGGUAGCCAUGUUCCCUAGGUAACGCCCCACUCCCCUCUUUUAUUCCUCCCCCUCUCUUCCGUUUCCUUCUUUUGCUCACUAUCCUUUAUAAUUUUUUAUGCUUGUCUUCCCAAAAUAGCCUUUGAAUACACAAGUAAAUGUCUAGGCUUUGGUGAGGAUAGUUUGGUCAUUGCAUUUUACAAGUAAGAUGAGUGGUGGAGAAAAAUGAGGAGUGCACAUAACUCUUCAGCAAAUCCCACCAACAAUUCCAUUUUCUUAAUUAAUUAAUCUCCUUUUUUAUCCCCAAACAAAUCCUAAUGAUACUCUUAUCAGGUUUAAAACAGUACACAAAUAGUGAAAAGCUAACUAGUCUGUAGAGUAAUUUGCUAAUUGCUAUCUCCUCUCUACGCGCGCUGAAUAAUUUGUUGCAUGCAAACUUUUUAUUUUAUGCAAAUCGUACGUACUGUAACAUUGGAAUUGAUGGAUAAGCAAAAAUACAAUAAUAUUUAUGCCAAUAAAAAUAGUUUUUUUUCCUUUUUAAAUAAACACAACGCGAUGUUGCUCUGCUCUACAUUUUUGCUAUCUCUUUAUUCUUUUUUUUUUUUUGGGCUUCUUAAAGCCUCAAACUUUGACAACCAAAACUUCAUCGACCUAUGAAAAAAUCUGCAGAUUAGUUUUUAUUAUCGGAAUAAUUGUUUGAGAAUACUAAAACAAAAUAUAAAAUAAGAAAAUAGGGGGUUAAAUUAGAGGGGGAAAAAAGCCAUGUUCUAUCGAUUACUAUAGUUUAAGAAAACAAAAUCCAAUUGGGAAUUUUUUUCUUUAAUUUUUGUUUUACUUGAUUGAGAUUUCUCCUUAGUCCUUACAGUUUUAAGUUUGGAUGCCGUAGGGUUAGUAAUUUAGUACUUCCUUUGCAAGCUGAGGGCAAGAAUGAAAAUCUUUAAAGAAAUUAAAAAAGAUUAAAAAAAAGCAUACCAAUAGGUAAUUAUAAAUAACCAUAAAUAAACAUAAACAAAAUAUUUAUGAAGUAAAUUACACAUGCACAUAUUAUUUUUUUGUUUUAUUUCUUACUUGUCUAUUUUAUUUGUCUAUUUUAUUUGCUGCUUGAUAACCCGUAAAUACUAAUCUAGUACUGCUAAUUUCAGACACAAAAUUUUUAACUCUAGGCUGCAGUUUUGCUCAAAAUGAUGACCACUGGCUUCGCACCAUUUAACCGGCAUACAUUUCUACAAAUUGAACAAGGCUAUUGAUUUUCAUUAUUAUUUUUUAUUUAUUUAUAAAUUACUAUUUUAAUUUUCACUUUUUAUUGGGUUGUUUACAAUUUUAUUUUAUAAUUUCAAAUUUGUAUUUUAAAAUGCAGGUACAUUAUGUAUACAUAAUUAUUGAUUUUCAUAUGUGGGUGUUUUGAAAUAUUGCUAAAAGACCAAACUUAAUAAACUAUUUUUCAUCUUUUUUUCCCUUUUUUCCUAAAGGUUGAGUGAUAUCCGCAUUUUAAAUUCAUGUGGAACAAAAGCUAAUGAAUGCACAAAAUUAUUUUAUUUUUUCCGAGAAAAAUGGGUAAGAGAAGAAGAUUUUUCUCUUGAAAAAGAAAAACUAAUACGAUGCAAACAUAGGAAAGAGGUCAGUGUUUUGGAUUAGAAUUUAUUAUUGACCUGAAUUUUAUACUAAACUCUUUUAUAGUACUGCGAUUAAUGAACUCAUGAUUUGCUUUUGCUUUUACUUCAAGUGAAAGAAAGAGGAAACCUUUUGUUUUUUGUUUGAUUCUUGACUAUAGAUGUUACCUAUAUAGAGAGUUGAGGUAGCUGCCUUAAGUGAUGGUGAUAAAAAGAUUAAGCAGCGCACAAAAUCUGACUGUCGUCCAGACCAUCCAGCUGUGAUGGCUCUAGUUUUUUGGUUACAUUAGCUUUAGUGGAAAGGAGGGCCAAUUUAACAAAGACUAGAUUUGGUGGCUUACUAUAAUGCUUAUUCUCAAGGAAUCUAAUGUUAUAAGAUGAUUUAAUGAUCUUCUAUGAUUGUGAGUAGUAUAGUAUAAUUGAAAAGAGCCUGGGCUCCUAUGAUGAAUAUUUAAUAGUAACACAAUAUUGUGAUUGAAAAAAACACUGUUACAAUAAACUCUUCAUUUAUUCAUUGCGGAUAUUGAAUGGCAAACAGAGAAUAAAAUGAAGCAGAGGAAUCUCAUUGCUAGUAAAAUUGACCCUCUUUAAUGUUAUAUGGCACAGGUGUGUGUACAGCAAGAGCAAGUGACUUGCAGUUUUUUUUUGUAAAAUAUACAGGUUAUGACCAUGAUCAUUGUAGUUAGGUUUUGAUGAUUUUAGAUGCUUUUUUAUUUUUUUUAAAUUGUGACACCUUUGAUUUAUGGUAGUUUUGCAGAAGAAAAAAAUAUAUAUAAAAAUUAGGAAGAAUGAGUUAACUAACAAUUGCAAUCAUUACAACAAUGUUGAUGAGUGAUACAUCAUUUGAAAUUUACAUGUCAGUUGCUAAAAUGAUGAAAAAAAACAAUAAACAAUAGCAGUAAUAUUUUUAUGGAAAUUCUUGGUUUUUAUGGAAAUACUCUUGCUGAAAUUCUAAUUUUGACUUUCAACUCUUGGUUUUUAUGGAAAGUAAAAUGACUUGUUUGUUAUAUUCAUACAAUCCACUCUACAUAAUGAUUUCAUUUUUAAUAAAUGCUUGAUGAUCUCCACUGAAAAACUACUUCAAUUCUUUUGUUUUAUUUAACUUUUUGGUUGUUGAAAAUAGCCUUAAUUUUCAAAUAAUUGGAGAAAGAGUAAAGAACAUUUAACAAAUUUAUGUGCCAAAAAUAAAGGAGAAAUUGAAGAGAAAGGGUGCUUGCAGAAGUGGGUGCAAAGAUAAAUCAGUCUAUAAGAAUUAUUGUGGUUAUUAAUUUUUUGGCAAUAUAAAAAUUCUUCAGCAAAUAAAAAUUGAUUUUUUUCCGAUUUACUAAAAAAUUAAUUAAAAAAUUCGGCCACAGCAUUUUUUAUGGGUGCAUAUACCCUCCCUUUAAAAAAAAAUAAUAAUUAAUGCUUAAUAUAGUAUUAAAUACCAAAAUAUCAAUAUUUGGCUACUCAAAUUUAUAUCAUUAGGUCCUUCAAAUUUAAAAUUGAAGAUACAAAAGGAAAUAUAUAUAAAUUUCAUUCUCAUGGAAAGGAUUCUCUUAUAAUCUUAUAAUAUUUGAGUUUUGAAAUUUUUUGAAACAAAUGUAAUUUUAUUUGUGUACAAUCAAUAUUUACUUAUUUAUUAUAUUUUAAUUUGUUAACUAUCAAUCAUUUAAGUAUAUUUGGUCAGAAAAAUUAUAUCAAGAGAGAAUCCUAAUUUCACGCAAACACAAAUACAAGAUAAAUAUGUCAAUUUCUAUACUAUUCACUUUCCUGUAGAAUCAAUUAUCUAAAAUGCAAGUUUGUGGCUACAGAAAACUAAUGCAUCAUUUUCUUCUUGAUUUGAUGAGAUGACGCCAUUACAAAAAAAUAAGUACCUUAAUUGACGGGCACUGAGUGAUGUGAAUACUACCAGCCAGUUCAUCUCUUCCAGUCUUGCUUAAUCACAAUCACAAACACCACGAGAUUGACAUUUGCAUUAUAUAUAUCUUCAGCAAUCGAAACACCUUGCAUUACCAAAUUAACCGGUAACAAACAAAGCAAUCUUUCAUGGAGAGAAACUUUAGUCUCAGUAUGAUCACUGUGUCAUUAACCCACUUCCUGCUUCUUUGCUUGGUUGUUGCAGCAGCAGCAGCCGCAAGCAACAAUAUUACCACAGACCAACAAGCUCUUCUUGCCCUGAAAGAUCAUAUAACUUAUGAUCCAACCAACCUUUUUGCCCAUAAUUGGACCUCGAAUACCUCUGUUUGUACCUGGAUUGGCAUCACUUGUGAUGUCAAUAGCCAUAGAGUCACAGCCUUAGAUAUUUCUCAAUUCAAUCUACAAGGCACCAUCCCUCCUCAACUUGGAAACCUCUCUUCACUUACAACGCUUAAUCUUAGUCAUAACAAGCUUUCUGGAGACGUUCCAUCCUCCAUCUACACCAUGCAUUCGCUAAAAUUUCUUGACUUCACUGAUAACCAGCUCUCUGGUUCAGUGUCUUCCUUCGUCUUCAGCAUGUCUUCAAUAUUAGAAAUUCUUUUGACCAAUAACAGAUUUUCUGGUGAGCUUCCGAAAAAUAUUUGCAACUAUCUUCCUUAUUUGAAAGCCCUUUUCUUAAACAAAAACAUGUUUCAUGGCAAAAUUCCUUCUGCUUUAUCAAAGUGCAAACAACUGCAACAAUUAAAUUUGCAGUUCAAUAAUUUAUCCGGUGCAAUACCGAAAGAAAUCGGCAACUUGACUAUGCUCAAAGGCAUAUAUCUCGAAUACAACAAACUCCACGGUAUGUUCAUAAUACUAUGUAAAUGUUUUAAUUUCUCACUUGUUAUUUUCUUGAAUACUUUAGACAAGAUCUCGUAAGGGAGAUAUUUUUGGAUCUGUGUUAAUUUGCCAGGUGAGAUACCCCACGAAAUCGCUAAUCUUCGAAAUCUAGAGGAUUUAUUGCUUGGAAUGAACAACCUAGUUGGUGUGUUACCAGCUCCAAUCUUCAACAUGUCAACACUGAAAUUAUUUGACCUCAUAAAUAACUCUCUCUCCGGAAGUCUUCCAUCAAGAAUAGACCUUUCACUUCCAACUGUCGAGUUUUUUGGCUUGGCACUGAAUAGAUUUUCUGGAACCAUUCCUAGUUCCAUCACCAAUGCUUCUAAGCUCACCGUUCUAGCGUUGGGAGAGAACACAUUUUCGGGCUUCAUUCCAAACACAAUUGGUAAUUUAAAAAACCUUGAGUGGCUCAGCUUGGAGAAUAAUUACUUGAAAUCUUCAACCUCAAAAUUGAGCUUUCUUUCCUCUUUGGCAAAUUGCAAGAAAUUAAGAUUCUUAAACUUAGCAGGCAAUCCACUUGACGGCUUCCUUCCAAGUUCAAUAGGUAAUCUUUCUGUGUCUUUGGAAACACUUUUCAUCGGCAAUUGCAGUAUUAGUGGCAACAUUCCUCAAGCAAUUAGCAAUUUAAGCAACUUGUUGACCUUAGCAUUAGAAUUCAAUAAAUUGACUGGACCAAUUCCAAUUACAUUUGGCCGACUACAGAAACUCCAAGGCUUAGAUCUUGCAUUCAAUAAGUUGGUAGGUUCAUUCCCAGAUGAGCUUUGCCAUCUAGCAAGGCUGGAUCAAUUGUACUUAUUUGGCAAUAAGCUUUCAGGAUCUAUACCUUCAUGCCUAAGUAAUCUCACUUCUCUAAGAUCUCUCUACUUAGGGUCUAAUAGGUUUACUUCUGUUAUUCCCUCAACUUUCUGGAGCCUAAAAUACAUCUUGUUCUUUGACUUUUCAUCAAAUUUCUUGGUUGGUACUCUUUCUUUCGACAUAGGUAAUUUGAAGGUGCUUCUAGGAAUAAAUUUAUCAGAAAAUAACUUAUCGGGUGAUAUGCCAGCCACAAUUGGAGGACUGAAAGAUCUUCAAUUUAUGGACCUAGCAUAUAAUAGAUUGGAAGGCCCAAUUCCUGAAUCAUUUGGUGACUUGACAAGUUUGGAGGUUUUGAAUUUGUCAAAAAAUAAAAUCUCUGGGUCUAUUCCAACAUCCAUAGAGAAACUCAUUUACCUUCGAGAGUUAAAUCUCUCUUUCAAUAAACUUGAAGGUGAGAUUCCUAGUGGAGGAAUUUUUACCAACUUCACAGCUGAGUCAUUUAUGGGAAAUGAGUUAUUGUGUGGUUUACCAAAUCUUCAAGUCCAACCAUGCAAACUUAGCAAGCCUAGGACAGAACAUAAAUCAAGGAAAAAGAUACUUCUCAUUGUGAUUGUUUUGCCAUUGAAGAUUGCUCUAACGAUAGCAAUCACUCUAGCUCUCAAAUCUAAGCUGAUCGAAUGUAGAAAAAGAAGCACAGAGUUAUCAAAUGAUAGUAUCUUGUCAUCACAAGCAACACUAAGAAGAUUUUCAUACUUAGAACUUUUACAAGCAACAGAUAAUUUUGCUGAAAACAACAUAAUUGGCAGAGGAGGUUUUGGUUUCGUUUAUGGAGCAAGACUUGAAGAUGGGAUGAAGAUUGCAAUAAAAGUGUUCACCAGCAAUGUGCAAGCGCAUUGAAGAGUUUUGAGGCUGAAUGUGAAGUGUUAAAAAAUAUUCGCCAUCGAAACCUUAUCAAAGUUAUCAGCAGUUGCUCGAACGAUAACUUCAAAGCAUUAGUCCUAGAAUACAUGUCCAACGGGAGCUUGGAGGAUUGGCUGCAUUCUAGCAAUUAUGUGCUGAAUAUAUUUCAGAGGUUGAACAUAAUGAUUGACGUUGCAUCAGCUUUAGAAUAUCUCCACUUCGAUCAUUCAACUGCUAUUAUUCAUUGUGACUUAAAGCCUAGUAAUGUAUUGUUGGACGAAAAUAUGGUUGCUCAUUUGAGUGAUUUUGGCAUAGCAAAGCUUUUAAGUGGAGAGGAUGAGUCUACGAUGCGAACAAAAACCCUUGCCACUAUAGGUUAUAUGGCACCAGGUUUGCUUCAAACAACUUUUUUUUUAGUUCAUUUUAAAUUUUCUAAAUCAUUGAUUUUUACGAUCCUCAUAUCAAAUUGUUACUGAUUAUUUAUCUAAUUGUGAAAUUAAUUUGAUUCAUAGAGUACGGCAUAGAAGGAGAAGUAUCUACAAAAAGUGAUGUUUACAGCUAUGGGAUUAUGUUGAUGGAAACUUUUACCAAGAAAAAACCCACAGAUGAAAUUUUUGUUGGAGAAUUGAGCUUAAAGCGUUGGGUUAAUGACUUGCUUCCUACUUCAUUAGAGGAAGUUGUGGACAAAACUCUGCUAAGUGGAGAGGAAAAACAUUCUUUAGGAAAGGAGCAAUGUCUGUUGUCUAUCUUUAGUUUGGCUCUGGAGUGUACAAUGGAAUCACCGGAAAAGAGGAUUAAUGCAAAAGAUAUUGUUACCGGAUUACUCAAGAUAAAAGCCGCAUUGAGUAAAAGGAUAGGAAAUUUAAGUUAAUUUCGUUUGCUUUCAUUGAUAGUUAAUCUGAAUUCAUGUAAUAAGUGUAGGAAUCUUAUAUCUUUUCCUUUCAUAUAUUUUUUUUCCUUGAGAAAACUGUUGUAGUCAUCUUGUUUCCGUGGACAGAGUUGAUUUAGUUUUUCCAUGAAAUGCUACUGAUGACAUUUGUUUUAUACUUUCUCUUUUUUUGCAUGUGUUUUGGCUGCAGGCUAAGAAGUCUAACUACACUAAAAGAAUAUGAUUUAAUUUAUUAAACAAAACUUCAAGUUCAAGAAAAGUAUUUCACUGCCCCUAAUGCUUUGGACACCUACUGGUAGGUUUGUACGUGUCCUCAACUUUUUUUUGGAGCACAAAAUUCGAGUCCCAUGGAGUCUCAAACAUUCCUUUCCCACAUCCCGAGCACGCUGAAUUUAUCAGACUGACUGUUGUGCGCGGAAUGCGGAAUCAAGCACGCCAAAUAAUUACAGAAAAAUAAAUGACACAAGAAUUUACGUGGUUCGGUAAUUAAACCUACAUCCACGGAGGUAAAAAAAAAAAUUGUUUAUUUAACAAUUAAUAGAGUACAAAUAUUUGAGUAACGAAUCUCACUUCCCAAAAACCCAAAUAUACCCAGUACUCUCACACUCUGCAGGAAAGAUAAAUUCCCCAGACAAACUUCUCUCACUUCUCUCAAAAGCUUAGAAACUUAUAAGCUUAACAAUUUUAGGAUACCAAAGAAUGGAAGAAGUGCCAUCUAUUUAUAGGGAAAAUAAUGGCACUAUUGAACCAACCCUUUUACUAUUCCACCUAACCUAAGCAAAUAGUCAAUGGUGUCCAUUUGGCAAAUUUGACAAAUUUGCCAACUUUCCAUUUUUUCUUCAAAUGUUUGGUAGCUCUUUGAAAAAUUGCCACAUACAUGACUUUUCAACACUGACAACCGGGACAUAUACAAGAGUGAAAUGUUCAGAGCACGCUAAGUUCCAGUGAAAGAGAUUAAUUUACGGAAACUAAAGCCAAGAGAAUAAAGGACAACACUUAUGUGAAGCGACAUAAUUGUAUUGAUAGCACAAUGUCAAAUUCAUACAGAGAUCUAGUAUACUAUUUACAGCCGGUAAGGGCUAAGAAUUGAUGUAGCUAUAAUACAAAUACGAUAAGGUAUGUUGUGCGCUAUUGUUUUUAUUCUCCAAUCAAUCUUGACCCUUGAUGCUUGGUUCUCAAUCUUGUCCAUUGAUCUUCUCUGAUUUUGGAGACUUCAAGACCUUUCAGUAUCAUUCCUUGUUAUUGGUGUCUUCCGUGCUGUAGAAUUCAUAUACAAGUUUUCCCGCCGACUUGCCAAGUAUUCGUUCAUUGGUGCAUUUUUAUCAAACAGCUGGGCUACUUAUGCCAGACACCGCCUGGUUUAACUCCCCCUCUCUAGCUCAACUAUCUGGGAAGACAAUUAAUUGAGCUUGUUUCACAAGUAUAUGAAUCUGAAAGUUAAAUUUUAAAAAUUAUAUUCGGACUCUACAUUUUGUAAUGAACAUUGGUUUGACUUGUUAUACAUUUAUGCGUACAUAAUUAAUAACCGAUUCUCAAGUGCGGACAUUCAAGAGCACUGCUUAAAGACCAAAUAUUUUGAUUUACUACUUUUUGUCUUUCAAUUUUCUUUUAAGUUCUGAUGACGUCCGCAUUUUAAAAUCCUGUGGAACAAAGGCCUGAGGUGCAUAUAAAAUUCUUUUAUUUUUCAGAGGAAAAUGGGUGAGAGAAGAAGAUUUGGCAAAAGAAUUGCAACGGCAUUUGAAACUAGUCUUCGUCUUUUAAUUCUUUUAUAUUUGUUUUUGUUAUUGAUGUUAGCUUGGAUGUGUGCGCGUGUGACUGAAUUCAACUUAUAUUUGUUUUUGUUAUUAUUAUUAAUUUUAUUUGUUUUUGUUAAAUUGGACCACCCCAUUAUCAAAUCAACACGGUUUAAUUAUUAUUAAUUCUACACUUUUUUUACGAACAAAUAUAAAAUAAAAGGACAUUUACAUCCCAAAUUUUAGUGCAAUAGUCAUCAACAUCCCUAAAUUUUUAAAAAGAGACAUCAAAAUCAUUUUUUGAUCUUAAUACUCUUAUACGGUACCUCUAUUAUUCCCAAAAAUUGACUCUAAUGUUUUAUAAUAAAUAAAAAUAAAACUUUAAAAUAAAUGUAAUUACAUAUACAUUUUAAAAUAAUUUCAAUAUUUAAAAAAUAUUUUUAACAUUUUACAAUCUAUUAUAUUUUAUUAUAUUAAAGUAAAUUUUAUUAUAAAUAGAAUCAUAUUAUUAAAAUAAAUGCAUUAAAAUUUAAAUUAUUUUGAAUAUCAUGUAAGAUAAUAAUUUUAACAUUACUAGUGUGUCAGAUUUUUUUUUUUAAUUGUAGAAUGUAUUUAGCGCAAAUAUUUAUUUAAAAUCUCUACAAUAAAUAAAAGAUUUAAAUAAAUAUAAUAAUUUACAUAUCUAAAUUUAUUAAAAUAUUUUAAUAUUGUUAGUCUACUGCAUAGAUCACAAUAUUUAUAUAACAUUUGUAUUUAUUAAAAACUUUAAAAUCAAUUCUUUUGAGAAUAAUAGAGGUAAAGAGUAUAAUGGUAAUAAAGGGGACUUUGUACCCCUUUCUAAAAACUUGAGGAUGUUAGUGACCAUUUCUCCAAACCUUCAGUGUGUUGAUGUAAUUGUCAAGAAAUACAGUAUCUAAACUUUGAAGUAACAAGGAUCACCUUUUAUGAAAUCAUAUUGCUUUUCAUGAUAGACUGUUACCAUUUUUCUACGAUAGAUUCAGUAAAAAAUUGAUUAAGAUGUCUACUCAUGGAGAGUGAAAUUUAUGUUCAAAACUAAUUUCAACAGGCAUGCACCAUCGAACGUGUUUCUCAUGGAAAAGUUGCUUGGAUUUUAGGGACUUUAUGUUCAAAUAUUCAACACGGCAUGCACCACGCGAUUGAACAUGCAAAAGUAGGGGUCUAUUUUCAUUUUCAGCAUUAUAGAAAUCUUAAUUUUGUUCAUUAUUUAUUUUGAUCAGCACUCUUGAAUCUCCAUGUAUUGCCAAUCACUAAGAAACAACAUAUUCUUAUUAAUUAUAUCCUCUAAUGGAGAGAACUCAUUGUCUCAGUAAGAUCACUGUGUCAUUAACCCACAGCAUGCUGAUUUGCUUGGUUGCUGCAGCAAGCAAAAAUAUUACCACAGAUCAAAAAGCUCUUCUUGCCCCAAAAGAUCACAUAACUUAUGCUCCAACUAAUCUUUUGACCCAAAAUUGGACCUCAAAUACCUCUGUUUGUACGGGGAUUAGCAUCACUUGCGAUGUCAAUAGCCAUGAAGUUGCAGCCUUGGAUAUUUCUCAAUUCAAUCUACAAGGCACCAUUAUUCCAAACACAACUGGUAAUUUAAGAAACCUUAAGUGGCUCGGCUUGGCUUAUAAACUACUUGACAUCUUCAACUUCAAAAUUGAGCUUUCUUUCCUCUUUGGCAAGUUGCAAAAAAUUAAGAAUCUUAGGCUUACUGGAAAUCCACUUGACCGUAUCCUUUCAGGUUCAAUAGGUAAUCUUUCUAUGUCUUAGGAAAGGUUUCACAUCGCCAAUUGCAGCAUUAGUGGCAGAAUUCCUCAAGUAAUCAGCAAUUUAAGCAACUUGUUGGCUGGUGUGCAAAAUUUUAAUAUACUUGCAAGCGCAUGAAUCUAGAAAUAGAAUAAUAGUAACGAGGUCAAACCCACAUGGAUCGUUAUAAACUGACAAAAGAAUAGCUGCUGGUCUAGAGGUGGCUUACUACAUUCAUACAAGAUCGUUUCUUGUUCUCUAAGAUAUGCAUUAUACUAAUAAUGCUAUACAAACUUAUCCAAAGGUCUAUUAAUUAAUUCAUUAAUCCAACGGCUUGUUAGGUUGUCCUUUCAUCCAUACAGCUGCAUGCUUGUCUUCUUAUAUACUGAUCUUAUCCUCUAGAUCUGUUCAGGCUGAGUGAUCUCUCACAUUUGCCAUAUCAGAAGAUUACAUGCCAGUAAUGUCAUGUGAUGACCUGUUGCUUGGUGAUGUCGAAUGCCUGGCCUUUACUUCUCUGAGCAAAUUGAUCAAACAAUUUGUUCAUUUUAUCGAACACCUUCACCAACCAACAUUUUAUUUACUUUUGAUGGUUUUUAAGUGCAUUUAAUGAUUAUUUUUGCUCCAACUUCAGAUAAACCAAACGCUAGUAUAUUAGAAGAAGAAGUUCACUGGCAGCUAACCAGGUCAAAAUAGCGACUCUAUAUAAAAAAUAUAUAUAAAAAAUAAAUAAAUAAAAUGGGACUUUAUUUAAUUAAUUGUUGGUCUAAAGCUGUUGGUAUCCGUUGGCCACGUUUCUGAAGAGUCAUCUCAAAUCGAAAUUUUUAACGAACAAAGAACUUUGCUUUUUUCCAUUGUUCACAUUGCUGCUGGCUGCCACCCGUGAGAUAAAAGUGCUACAAGCUUUCCGUCGACAUUCCCCCCUCCAUUUUCACCAUGCAUAAGCUGAAAUUUCUUGAUUUCAGUGAUAAUCAGCUCUCUGGUUCUUUGUCCUCCGUCACCUUCAACUUGUCUUCAGUAUUAGAUAUUCGUUUGGAUAGUGACAAACUCUCUGGUGAACUCCCAGUAAAUAUUUGCAAUUAUCUUCACUAUUUAAAAGUCCUUUUUUUGGCCAAAAACAUGUUUCACGGUCAAAUACCACUGGCUUUAUCCAAGUGCAAACGGCUACAACUGUUAAAUUUGGGGUUCAAAAAAUUAUCAGGAGCCAUACCGAAAGAAAUCAGCAACUUGACUAUACUUCGAAAGAUAUCUCUCAGAAAUAAUAAACUUCGCGGUAUAAAUGUUUAUAAUAUAUACUUUGUAAAUGCUCUUAUUAAUCAUUCUUGAACUUUCUUAGAUACUUUUGUCUAAAUAAGAUUUUGCAAAAGAGUUUUUUGCAUCUCUGUUAAUUUUGCAGGCGAGAUACCUCACGAAAUUGGGUAUCUUCCAAAUCUAGAGAAUUUGGUGCUUGGAUUCAACAACCUAGUAGGUGUUGUACCUGCUGCAAUCUUCAACAUGUCAACAGUGAAAAAAAUUUACCUAUUAGAUAACUCUCUCUUGGGAAGUUUUUCAUUAGGAAUAGACCUUUCACUUCCUAACGUUGAGAGACUGAACCCGGGGCUGAACAGAUUUUCUGGAACCAUUCCUAGUUUCAUCACCAACGCAUCUAAACUUGUAUAUCUAGAUAUGGGAACAAACUCUUUUUCGGGCAUUAUUCCGAACACAAUUGGUAAUAAUCUAAGAAACGUUGACUGGCUCGACUUAACAUACAAUCGCUUGACAUCAUUAACUCUAGAAUUGAGCUUUCUUUCCUCUUUGACAAUUGCAAGAAAUUAAGAUUCUUAGGCUUAACAGGCAAUCCGCUUGACGGUGUCCUUCCAACUUCAAUAGGUAAUCUUUCUAUGUCUUUGGAAAACAUUUACAUCUCAAAUUGUAAUAUUGGUGGCAGCAUUCCUCAACUAAUCAGCAAUUUAAGCAAUUUGUUGCUCUUAGAUUUAGAAGGCAAUAAGUUGACUGGAUCAAUUCCAGUCACAUUCAGCCGGUUGCAGAAACUCCAGGGUUUAUAUCUUCCAUUUAACAAGUUAGCAGGAUCAAUCCCAGACCAGCUUUGCCAUUUAGCUAGACUGAAUACAUUAGGUUUGGCUGGUAAUAAGUUUUCUGGAUCAAUCCCUUCAUGUUUAGGUAAUCUCACUUCUCUAAGGUCUCCCGACUUAGGGUCCAAUAGGCUUACAUCAGUCUUGCCCUCAACUUUUUGGAAUCUAAAAGACAUCUUGUUCUUUGACCUUUCAUCAAAUUCUUUGGAUGGUCCUCUUUCUUUAGACAUAGGAAAUUUAAGGGUUGUGAUAGGAAUAAAUUUAUCACGAAAUAACUUUUCAGGUGAUAUCCCAAGUACAAUUGGAGAUCUAAAAGACUUACAGAAUAUCUCCUUAGCAUGUAAUGGAUUGGAAGGUCUAAUUCCUGAAUCAUUUGGUUACUUGACAGGUUUGGAAAUUUUAGAUUUGUCAAAUAACAAAAUCUUUGAGUUUAUUCCGAUAUCUUUUUAAAAACUCUUGUACCUCAAAGAGCUAAAUUUGUCUUUUAACAAACUAGAAGGAGAGAUUCCUAGGGGAGGACCUUUUGCAAAUUUCACAGCUAAGUCAUUCAUGGGAAAUGAGAAAUUGUGUGGUUUACCAAAUCUCCAAUUCCCAAAAUGCAAGCGUCGGACGCGUCGAAAAUCAAAGAAAAAGAUGCUUCUACUUGUGAUUGUCUUGCCAUUGAGUACUGCUCUAAUAAUCGCAGUCCCUCUAGCUCUAAAAUAUAAAUCGAUAAGAGGUGGAAAGAGUAGUACUAGGUUGUUAAAUGAUGGUAUCUUGCAUCACAAGAAACACUAAGAAGAUUUUCAUACCAAGAUCUUUUUCGUGCAACAGAAAAAUUUAGUAAAGAAAAUCUAAUUGGCGUAGGAAGUUUUGGUUCUGUUUAUCGAGGAAGAAUUCAUGAUGGAAUUGAGGUUGCAAUAAAAGUGUUUCACCAGAAUUGUGCAAUGGCAUUGAAGAGUUUUGAGGCUGAAUGUGAAGUGAUGAAAAAUAUUCGUCAUCGAAAUCAUGUCAAAAGAAUCAGUAGUUGUUCGAACGAAGAUUUCAAAGCAUUAGUUCUAUAAUAUAUGCCCAAUAGGAGCUUGGAGGAUUGCCUGCAUUCUACCAAUUGUUCGUUAAAUAUUUUUGACAAGUUGAACAUAAUGAUAGAUGUUGCAUCGGCUUUGGAAUAUCUCCACUUCAGUCAUUCAACUCCUGUCAUUCAUUGCGACUUAAAGCCCAAAAAUGUAUUGUUAGAUAAAAAUAUGGUUGCUCAUUUCAGUGAUUUUGGAAUUGGAAGGCUCUUAACUGGAGAUCGAUCAAUGAUACAAACAGAAACACUUGUCACAAUUGGUUAUAUGGCACCAGGUUUGCUCUGAAACAAUUUUUGUUUUUUUUUUUUGGGUUUUCAUUCAGACUUUCCAAAUUAUUAUUUUUCCAUGAUCCUUCUAUCCUAAUGUUAUUGAUUAUUUAUCUAAUGAUAAAAUCAAUUUGGUUGAUAUAAUAUGGCAUAGAAGGACGAGUAUCUACAAGAAGUGAUGUUUAUAGUUAUGGAAUUAUGUUAAUAGAAACAUUUACUAGGAAGAAACCCACAGAUGAAAUGUUUACUACAGAAUUGAGCUUAAAACUUUGGGUUAACAACUUGCUACCUGCUUCAUUGAUGGAAGUUGUGGACAAAACUCUUUAAGUAGGGAAGAAGAAGAUUUUGCUGCGAUGGAGCAAUGUGUGUUAUCAAUCUGAGUUUAGCCAUGGAGUACGUGAUGGAAAUGCCAGAAAAAAGGAUCGAUCCAAUAGAUAUUGUAACUAAACUAUUGAAAAUAAGAGACAUAUUGAGUAAAAGGUUAGCAAAUUUAGGUUAAUCUCAUUUCUUGGCAUUGAUACUUGAAUCAAUAUACACUUAAUUUGAAUCAAUGUAUGAGUGUAAGAAUAUGAUAUAUUUUCCUUUAAUUUUUUUUCCUGAGAGAAAUAUCAUAGCUGUCUUGUUUCAAAUUAAUUUUAUACUUUUUUUUCUUUUUCUAAGAUCAUGCCAAAGAGUUGUAGGAAGAUCAGCCACAAAUUCAAAGCCGGCUAAGGCAUUUGAAGAUGGAGAGAUUGGUAGUUUUUUUCCCAUUAAAAUUAAUAUAUAUCACUUAUCCCAACUAUUUUCAUAAUGCCUAAUAAGCUCUUGGCACCAUAACUUUACCAUAUAACCCUUAUUUUGAAAUACACUUUUAUUCAUAUUAAUAUUAAUUAAAUAAAUCAUAUGAGUUGAAAUUAAAAAUUAAAAAAUUAAAUACCAAAAAAAAGAAAUAUACGUUUUAGUGUGCUAAAAAAUUAAUAUUAAAAUAUUUUUCUUAUAUAUAUAUAUAUAUUAUUCUCAAAAUAAUGUAUCAAGCAAAUGACUUUUUUCUCUUCUUUUUCUUUAACUUUUUUUGUGCUAGUAGAGUUUUUAGAUAUUAUAAAAACAAUAAAAGAAUAAGUGAUAUAUAUUAAUUUCAGUUGAAAAUAACCAACAAUCCCCCUUUAAUUACGUGUCACACCCAACUUAUAAAUUCUAUCAAUCAUGUAAUUAUGGUUGGUUUCUCUUUUUCUUUUUUUUGCAUGUGUUUAGGUAGAAUAGUGGUUUGGUUGCACUCUAAGAAGUCAAACUACACUAAAAGAAUAUGAUUUAAUUUAUUAAACAUAACUUCAAGUUCAAGAAAAGUAUCUUAUUGCCCCCAAUGCUUUGGACACCUAUUGGUAGGUCUGUACGUGUCCUCAACUUUUUUUUGGAGCACAAAAUUCGAGUCCCAUGGAGACUCAAACAUUCCUUUCCUUCAUCCCGAGGGCGCCUUCUGUCCUCUGUUUCUGUUUCCACACACAAAUAGCAAAAAGAAAUUAGAAUGACAACUGGGACAUAUAUAAGAGUGAAAUAAUUAAAAAAUUAUGCUUUUUUGUUUGUCGUGUUAAAAUCGUAAGUACCGAUGUACUGUGAAAGAGAUUAAUUUACAGAAACUGAAGCCAAGGGUUCAAAAAAAAAGUGCAAAGAGAAUAAUUGUAUUGGUAGCACAAUGUCAUAUUCAUACAGAGAUCAAGUAUAUUAUUUACGGCUGGUAAGGACUAAGAAUUGAUGUAGCUAGAAUGCAAAGAUGAUAAGGUAUGUUGUGCACUAUUGUUUUAUUCUACAAUCAAUCUUGACCCUUGAUGCUUGGCUCUUAAUCUUGUCCAUUGAUCUGGUCAACUAUCUGGGAAGACAAUUAAUUGAGCUUGUUUCACAAUUAUAUGAAUCUGAAAGUUAAAUUUUAAAAAUUACAUUCGGACUCUACGUUUUCUAAUGAACAUUGGUUUGGCUUAUAAGCUUAUUAUGCUUAGGCUUAGGCUUGGUAAGAUUAUCGGUCGGUAGAUGAACAAGUUUUAGAGCUUUCGAAUUCAUGCCAAUUAAUUUUCAACUAGGCUAUUACCACAAUAAACAUUUAGAUGAACUAUUAUUGAAAUUUUAUUGAGAAGUGGAACAUGUCGCAUACCAAUGCACGGACAUAUCUUCAAAUAGUGGUAACUCCACACAACAUGGCACAACAAAUUAAGAGUUAUAUAGAUAAAAUCUUUCUACAAUUACAAUAGAUUGAAUUUAGUAAGAAAUUGAUUGUUAUCAUUUUUCUCAUGGAAAAGUUGUUUGGAUUACAAUAGAUUGAAUUUAUGUUCAAAUAUUCAACACGGCAUGCACCACGCGACUGAACUUGCAGAAGGAGAGGUCCAUUUUCAUUUUCAGCAUCACAGAAAUCUAAAUUUGUUCAUUAUAUAUUCUGAUCAGCACUUGAACAUCCAUGCAUACUCCUAUUAAUUAUAUCCUCUAAUGGAGAGAACUCAUUGCCUCAGUAUGAUCACUGUGUCAUCAACCCACUGCCCGCUUCUUUGCUUGGUUGUUGCAGCAAGCAACAAUAUUACCACAGAUCAACAAUAGUUUGUCCAUUUGUUUCAGUGAGGUCGUCAUUAAAAAUUAAUUUUCAUAUUGAUUUUCUUAAUUAUAAAUAAUACUAAUGAUAUUUCAUAGUUAUAAAUAUAUUAGAAUUAAUCAAAAUCAUUUUUUAGUGCGGCAUGGCUAAAACUACCUUCUUCUUUUUUUUUUAUAAGUAAUUACUACUUUAAGGAAAAUACUCCUAUUUUCAGGGAAAAGUCAAGUACCUGUAGUUGUGAAGACUCGAGCUCACCCUCUUAUGAUAAAUCUUCAUAUCAAUUACAUAAAUAUCCUCUAAGUUUUUAGUUAACUAUUCAAAAUUCGAUGUUAUACGGGUAUUUCAUUUAUUUGAGUAGGGGUUAGGGGUCAAUUGGAUACAAAUUCAAAAUUAUCCUUACUUGAGAAGGUGAUAAAAAUUGGGGAUUUAGUUUGGGUGUCAUUAGCUACAAAUAUUAAACUCAUACAUCUAAUUCAAAAUUGCAUCCAGGUUCAUUGCAGCUAAGGCUUGUGGAAUUUCCUCAGUAAGAUGUGAGUAGUCAUACCUACGUCGACAUUCAAUGGCUGUAUGUUUCGGUAAAUGACAAAUUUGGCAUAUGACAGUUUCUUCAUUGACUUCCUCAGCUUGUUGUUUGGAUUGAUUCUGAAUUUUGUGCCAAGGCUGUCCAGAAUUAUUUUGUCGAGGUUGCUGCCACUGUUGUCCCGAAUUUCCUUGCCAUGAUUGUUGCCCUUGUUGACUUGGAUUAUUGUUUGAUUUUUGCCAUGGCUGACUUGCAUUAUUAUUCCAACUUUUUCCACCAUUGUAGUUGAUUUUUUGACCACUUGAAUCAGCCAAAUUUUGUCCUCCUGCUGCUGUAAAACCACGACCUUUUGAGUUAAAGAAACCUCCAUUUCCACGACCUUUUCCCUUGCCUCGUUGGCUAAAAAAGGCUUGAGCCAGAUUGAUUGUAUUCUUCUUUUCUUCUUCAAAAUUAAUAAGAGUUUGUUCAUGAUUUUCGAGGGCCAUGACAAACUGCUUAAAUGAGGGAUAAGGUGGUUUUGAAAGUUGAGCAAGUUUGAAGUCUUGACUUUAUCGAAGUCAUUCACUGGUUUAUUUAUUGCAGCCAAACAAUCACAGAUAUGCUUGUAUUUGCGCACAUACUCUUCAACUGAUAGAGAUCCCUUUUUAAACCGAGAGAAUUACUAUAUUUACACAAUUAACCUUGGCUAGAAUUAAUUGUCCAGAUUGGAUGAUAACUAGAGAAUAGAAAUGAAGAAAAGGAAGCACACAACACCGAGAAGAGUAAUAAUUAAUGCUGCCAUUGACGAAAUGUUUUAUAUUACUCUUCUUUCUUGGUAUUUAUUUAUUUACAAUUUUUAAUGUAAAUAUACAGUUGUUGGGCUAAUAUCUUAUUUACUUUUGAAUGUAUUAGAUGCCUUUUCUUUUUUCUUGGUUCAUAAUAAUUUUGUAGAAAUUCCUCAAGUUUCCCUAAAUGAUAGCACAUAUUCAUAAUUGGAUUGAUUGAGUAAUAAUAAAAUAUAUUUAUUUGGCAAACGGCAGUUAGGCUUUCUUCUGAUGCAGAUUAAUUAGAGAGAAUAUAUAACAAUUUUAAGCUCGUCAGAUUCGGAACCUGCUUAUCUGUCGUGUGGGGAUCACUUCUGUGUCUUAUUUUUCUAGAAAAAUCUGGACCAUUGGAUUUCCCAUUAUUCAAUAGAUAAAUGUUUGAUCUUGAUUCUUGAUUAAGAUCGAAGUUUGAUUCUAACCAAAAUGAUGUCAGAUUCAGAUUGCGAAGCAAGCAAAUUGAAAGUAACUUGUUCUAUUUUGAUAAACACUAGUUCUAAUAAAAAAUUUCUAAGUGUAUAUAUUUUUUUUAUUGUGUUCAAUUUAACUAGUCAAAUCUAUUUUUAAAUAUUUUAUUAACAAUGAUAUGAAAAUAUUCGAACCCCUUGUCAUUGUAAAGUGAAUUACUAUCCAACUACACCAAAUAAUGUUUUCAAAUUGUAAACUGCAAAUCGUGUGUUUGCUCCAUUACAGCGUUUCUUCAAUUUAAAAAAGAGAAUCAUUUGCAUUCUAGAUUAAUCGUGGGUCUAUAUCCAAAUCUAAAAAUUGACUAAAUUCUUAAUCCUAACAAGAAAAAUUGAAGAUUAAAAACGACUAAUUUGGUACCAUACCACUAUUGUAACAUAGGUGGAUCCUCUAUUAAUUGGAGUAAAGAUUGAAUUAUCUCAUUUAUUAAGAUUUAUCAAAAUCUUGUAUCAAAAUCUAUUAAUGAUAUAGGUUCAAGGAUGAAAGAGUCACUUCAUUACUUUUGAGUUCCCAAAUAGAUGAAUGGAUGUUAUUUUUGGAUAGGUGCUAAAUCGAAUUAAGUUGUAGAUAAGAUAGAAAUGGAUUUGGAGAGAUUGGAAUCCUAGGUAAUCCGGUGCACGUUGUCGUGUUAAAUUCUCGUUGACUUCACGUUGACUGAAGCAUUAUUGGAAGAAACAAGUUUAUUGAGGUGAGGCCUUUGAGAUUGUAAGUGUUAAAUCUGAGAAGAAUACCCACACACCCAUUAUCCUAUUACUCUUAUAUCACAUGAAGAGAAUUCAACAUUUGAUUCACAUGGAACAAAAUUGUGAGGAUUGCGAGGGUUGAUGGAAUAUAAUUUAGAUACAAAGUGUUUACCAGUGCGAUGCUUCACAAGUGUUUUCAAUCAUAGUGAUUGUUUUAUCUGCACGUGGAUAUAAUCACAUGUCAGAAUUUUUUUCCUUAAAUUAUGAUCUUAUUUAGUACUGAGGUGUUAUAUCUUUUAAUGUACAAUUAUUGUUGGAAAAAAGUUGCAACUAUCAAAUAAAAUUAAUACUAUGUGCUAAAUAUAAUUGUUAAAUAAUAAUUUUGACAAAAUUAGUGAAGUUAAAUAGAUUUUUUUUUUAUCAUCCAAGUAUAAAAUCAAAUCAACUUAACUUCUAAGUUCUAUAUCGGCUACUGUUUAUCAUAUCUUUUAGUUUUGUAACUUUAAAGUUAUAGUUACCCAACCUCAAUUCUAAACAAGACCUAUAAAGAUCAAAGAUUUCCUCAUUAAAUUAUAUGUCUUGUGAUUGCUUAUUUAAUUUAUAUUUUUGUUAUUUAUCUUUAUUAAUUAUAAUCAUCUUUUUAUAAAUUAAAAUUGAAGGAAGUUGAUUGAUGUUGUUGACACACACACACACACACACGCACGCACACACUCGCAAAGAUAUAUUGGAAGUGCUUACGUCGACUCGAAGUUGUUGGGAAUUAAUGCAUGUAUUGAUUUAUUGGGAGUGUUUAAAUUGAUUUAUUAAUUGAAUAUUGUUUGAUUGCUUCAUAUCCAUUCUAGAAAGUUUAUUUCUUUGUGAAAUUUCAACGAAAUAUGUUUUUUUUUUUAAAUAAGGGUGUUCUAAAUCAUUUUAAAAAAUAUAUGGACUAAUUAGAAUUAAUUAUUAGGUAAUUAACUCAAUUUGUACAGGGUGAAACAACAUUUAUCCUAAUUAUAUCAUGAUAAAUACUUUUCUGAUUAGAAUUAGGAAAUCAUAGGUUAUUGAAUUGUUUUUUUUUUCCUUUGCGAAUGGAUUAGAGAAUUAGAAAACAUCAUGUUGAUGUCAAAAUCUGAUCUAGUCNNNNNNNNNNNNNNNNNNNNNNNNNNNNNNNNNNNNNNNNNNNNNNNNNNNNNNNNNNNNNNNNNNNNNNNNNNNNNNNNNNNNNNNNNNNNNNNNNNNNAGCAUUAAAUUUAUUUGGUAGAGAAUUGGCUGGUCAAUUGUCAAGAUGUCCUGCAAUCACUAGCGAUUAACCUACGAAUACCUGAAAUCACAAAAGACGGUAAGAGGCACUAGAAAUUUUUUCGGCGUGAACCUUCUGACGCUCAAGUCAGUUUAUAGGUUUACCAUAAUAAAAAUAAAUAAUUUCUAUUUAAAACAAAAAAUAAAGUUCAAAAGCUCAAAAAUAAAACCCAAUCCCAAUAUGAAAAUGAAUUUCUUUUUUUUUUUUAGCUUGGCCGAAUCCUUCUGCCUCCUAAAGAAACAUAAUAGAGAAGCAGGUAGCCAUGUUCCCUAGGUAACGCCCCACUCCCCUCUUUUAUUCCUCCCCCUCUCUUCCGUUUCCUUCUUUUGCUCACUAUCCUUUAUAAUUUUUUAUGCUUGUCUUCCCAAAAUAGCCUUUGAAUACACAAGUACAUGUCUAGCCUUUGGUGAGGAUAGUUUGGUCAUUGCAUUUUACAAGUAAGAUGAGUGGUGGAGAAAAAUGAGGAGUGCACAUAACUCUUCAGCAAAUCCCACCAACAAUUCCAUUUUCUUAAUUAAUUAAUCUCCUUUUUUAUCCCCAAACAAAUCCUAAUGAUACUCUUAUCAGGUUUAAAACAGUACACAAAUAGUGAAAAGCUAACUAGUCUGUAGAGUAAUUUGCUAAUUGCUAUCUCCUCUCUACGCGCGCUGAAUAAUUUGUUGCAUGCAAACUUUUUAUUUUAUGCAAAUCGUACGUACUGUAACAUUGGAAUUGAUGGAUAAGCAAAAAUACAAUAAUAUUUAUGCCAAUAAAAAUAGUUUUUUUUCCUUUUUAAAUAAACACAACGCGAUGUUGCUCUGCUCUACAUUUUUGCUAUCUCUUUAUUCUUUUUUUUUUUUUGGGCUUCUUAAAGCCUCAAACUUUGACAACCAAAACUUCAUCGACCUAUGAAAAAAUCUGCAGAUUAGUUUUUAUUAUCGGAAUAAUUGUUUGAGAAUACUAAAACAAAAUAUAAAAUAAGAAAAUACGGGGUUAAAUUUGGGGAAAACAAAAAGGCAUGUUCUAUCGAUUACUAUAGUUUAAGAAAACAAAAUCCAAUUGGGAAUUUUUUUCUUUAAUUUUUGUUUUACUUGAUUGAGAUUUCUCCUUAGUCCUUACAGUUUUAAGUUUGGAUGCCGUAGGGUUAGUAAUUUAGUACUUCCUUUGCAAGCUGAGGGCAAGAAUGAAAAUCUUUAAAGAAAUUAAAAAAGAUUAAAAAAAAGCAUACCAAUAGGUAAUUAUAAAUAACCAUAAAUAAACAUAAACAAAAUAUUUAUGAAGUAAAUUACACAUGCACAUAUUAUUUUUUUGUUUUAUUUCUUACUUGUCUAUUUUAUUUGUCUAUUUUAUUUGCUGCUUGAUAACCCGUAAAUACUAAUCUAGUACUGCUAAUUUCAGACACAAAAUUUUUAACUCUAGGCUGCAGUUUUGCUCAAAAUGAUGACCACUGGCUUCGCACCAUUUAACCGGCAUACAUUUCUACAAAUUGAACAAGGCUAUUGAUUUUCAUUAUUAUUUUUUAUUUAUUUAUAAAUUACUAUUUUAAUUUUCACUUUUUAUUGGGUUGUUUACAAUUUUAUUUUAUAAUUUCAAAUUUGUAUUUUAAAAUGCAGGUACAUUAUGUAUACAUAAUUAUUGAUUUUCAUAUGUGGGUGUUUUGAAAUAUUGCUAAAAGACCAAACUUAAUAAACUAUUUUUCAUCUUUUUUUCCCUUUUUUCCUAAAGGUUGAGUGAUAUCCGCAUUUUAAAUUCAUGUGGAACAAAAGCUAAUGAAUGCACAAAAUUCUUUUAUUUUUUCCGAGAAAAAUGGGUAAGAGAAGAAGAUUUUUCUCUUGAAAAAGAAAAACUAAUACGAUGCAAACAUAGGAAAGAGGUCAGUGUUUUGGAUUAGAAUUUAUUAUUGACCUGAAUUUUAUACUAAACUCUUUUAUAGUACUGCGAUUAAUGAACUCAUGAUUUGCUUUUGCUUUUACUUCAAGUGAAAGAAAGAGGAAACCUUUUGUUUUUUGUUUGAUUCUUGACUAUAGAUGUUACCUAUAUAGAGAGUUGAGGUAGCUGCCUUAAGUGAUGGUGAUAAAAAGAUUAAGCAGCGCACAAAAUCUGACUGUCGUCCAGACCAUCCAGCUGUGAUGGCUCUAGUUUUUUGGUUACAUUAGCUUUAGUGGAAAGGAGGGCCAAUUUAACAAAGACUAGAUUUGGUGGCUUACUAUAAUGCUUAUUCUCAAGGAAUCUAAUGUUAUAAGAUGAUUUAAUGAUCUUCUAUGAUUGUGAGUAGUAUAGUAUAAUUGAAAAGAGCCUGGGCUCCUAUGAUGAAUAUUUAAUAGUAACACAAUAUUGUGAUUGAAAAAAACACUGUUACAAUAAACUCUUCAUUUAUUCAUUGCGGAUAUUGAAUGGCAAACAGAGAAUAAAAUGAAGCAGAGGAAUCUCAUUGCUAGUAAAAUUGACCCUCUUUAAUGUUAUAUGGCACAGGUGUGUGUACAGCAAGAGCAAGUGACUUGCAGUUUUUUUUUGUAAAAUAUACAGGUUAUGACCAUGAUCAUUGUAGUUAGGUUUUGAUGAUUUUAGAUGCUUUUUUUAUUUUUUUUAAAUUGUGACACCUUUGAUUUAUGGUAGUUUUGCAGAAGAAAAAAAUAUAUAAAAAAAUUAGGAAGAAUGAGUUAACUAACAAUUGCAAUCAUUACAACAAUGUUGAUGAGUGAUACAUCAUUUGAAAUUUACUUGUCAGUUGCUAAAAUGAUGAAAAAAAACAAUAAACAAUAGCAGUAAUAUUUUUAUGGAAAUUCUUGGUUUUUAUGGAAAUACUCUUGCUGAAAUUCUAAUUUUGACUUUCAACUCUUGGUUUUUAUGGAAAGUAAAAUGACUUGUUUUUUAUAUUCAUACAAUCCACUCUACAUAAUGAUUUCAUUUUAAUAAAUGCUUGAUGAUCUCCACUGAAAAACUACUUCAAUUCUUUUGUUUUAUUUAACUUUUUGGUUGUUGAAAAUAGCCUUAAUUUUCAAAUAACUGGAGAAAGAGUAAAGAACAUUUAACAAAUUUAUGUGCCAAAAAUAAAGGAGAAAUUGAAGAGAAAGGGUGCUUGCAGAAGUGGGUGCAAAGAUAAAUCAGUCUAUAAGAAUUAUUGUGGUUAUUAAUUUUUUGGCAAUAUAAAAAAUUUUCAGCAAAUAAAAAUUGAUUUUUUCCAAUUUACUAAAAAAUUAAUUAAAAACUUUGGCGAUAGCAUUUUUUGUUGGUGCAUGUACCCUCCCUUUUAAAAAAAUAUAAUAAUUAAUACUUAAUAUAAUAUUAAAUACGAAAAUAUCAAUAUUUGACUACACAAAUUUAUAUCAUUAGGUCCUUAAAAUUUAAAAUUGAAGACAUAGAAUGAAAUAUAUAAAUAUAUAUAAAUUUUAUAAUCUUAAAAUAUUUGAAAGAUUUUUUAAAACAAAUGUAAUUUUAUUUGUGUACAAUCAAUAUUUACUUAUUUAUUAUAUUUUUAUUCAUUAACUAUCAAUCAUGUGAGUAUAUCUACUUAGAAAUAUCAUAUCAAGGGAGAAUCUUGAUCCCACGCACACGCAAAUAUGUUAAUUUCUAUACGCUUCACUUACCUGUAGAAUCAAUUAUCUAAAAUGCAAGUUUGUGGCCACAAAAAAGGCCAAAGAAAGAAGAUAAUAACAAUUGACUUGUAUAUUAUACUCAUACAAUCCACUCGACAUAAUGAUAUCAUUUUAACAAGGCAAUGGCUGAUGAUCUCCAUUGAAAAACUAAUUCAUUUCUUUUGCUUCAUUUAACUUUUUGGUUGUUGAAAAUAACCUUAAUGAUCAAAUUUAUGUGCAAAAAAAAAAGGAGAAGUUGAAGAGAAAGGGUGCUUGCAGAAGUGGAUGUCAAAGAAAAAUCGGUCCAUAAGAAUUAUUGCGGUUAUUUUUUGGCAAUAUAAAAUUUUUAUAGCAUGUAAAAAUUAAUUUUUUUUCCGAUUUACUAAAAAAUUAACUAAAAACUUCUGCGACAGCAUUUUUUAUGGGUGCAUAUACCCUCCCUUUAAAAAAAAUAUAAUAAUUAAUGCUUAAUAUAGUAUUAAAUACGAAAAUAUCAAUAUUUGACAACUCAAAUUUAUAUCAUUAGGUCCUUAAAAUUUAAAAUUGAAGACACGAAAAGAAAUAUAUAAAAAUUUCAUUCUCAUGGAAAGGAUUCUCUUAUAAUCUUAUAAUAUUUGAGUUCUGAAAUUUUUUUGAAACAAAUGUAAUUUUAUUUGUGUACAAUCAAUAUUUACUUAUUUAUUAUAUUUUAAUUUAUUAACUAUCAAUCAUGUAAGUAUAUUUAGUCAGAAAAAUUAUAUCAAGAGAGAAUUCUAAUUUCACACAAACACAAAUACAAGACAAAUAUGUCAAUUUCUAUACUAUUCACUUUCCUGUAGAAUCAAUUAUCUAAAAUGGAAGUUUGUGGCUACAGCAAACUCGCCAAAGAAAGAAGAUAAUAACAAUUGAGCAUUGAUAGCAAAACUAAUGCAUCAUUUUCUUCUUGACUUGAUGAGAUGGCGCCAUUACAAAAAAACAAGUACCUUAAUUGACGGGCACUGAGUGAUGUGAAUACUACCAGCCAGUUCAUCUCUUCCAGUCUUGCUUAAUCACAAUCACAAACACCACGAGAUUGACAUUUGCAUUAUAUAUAUGUUCAGCAAUCGAAACACCUUGCAUUACCAAAUUAACCGCUAACAAACAAAGCAAUCUUUCAGGGAGAGAAACUUUAGUCUCAGUAUGAUCACUGUGUCAUUAACCCACUUCCUGCUUCUUUGCUUGGUUGUUGUAGCAGCAGCAGCAGCAAGCAACAAUAUUACCACAGACCAACAAGCUCUUCUUGCCCUGAAAGAUCAUAUAAUUUAUGAUCCGACCAACCUUUUUGCCCAUAAUUGGACCUCGAAUACCUCUGUUUGUACCUGGAUUGGCAUCACUUGUGAUGUCAAUAGCCAUAGAGUCGCAGCCUUAGAUAUUUCUCAAUUCAAUCUACAAGGCACCAUCCCUCCUCAACUUGGAAACCUCUCUUCACUCACAACGCUUAAUCUUAGUCAUAACAAGCUUUCUGGAAACGUUCCCUCCUCCAUCUACACAAUGCAUACGCUAAAAUUUCUUGACUUC